rnacentral:rRNA from 1 species
UACGGAGGGUGCAAGCGUUAUCCGGAUUCACUGGGUUUAAAGGGUGCGUAGGCGGGUAGGUAAGUCCGUGGUGAAAUCUCUGAGCUUAACUCAGAAACUGCCGUGGAUACUAUUUGCCUUGAAUAUUGUGGAGGUGAGCGGAAUAUGUCAUGUAGCGGUGAAAUGCUUAGAUAUGGCAUAGAACACCAAUUGCGAAGGCAGCUCACUACACAAUGACUGACGCUGAGGCACGAAAGCGUGGGGAGCAAACAGG